GAAGCUCUAGAAACAAUAUGACUGAAAACAUCUGAAAUCAGAUAUUCACUGAGCAGGAGAUGAUGGAGAUUUGCUUGAUAUGAAACAUCCUCAUCAUCAUCAGCUGCCAGAUGAAUGCAGAAAGAGUCUCUGACAAAAAAAAGAAAGAAAAAGAGUCCUUAAGAGAGGCGUUUUCCCCACAGUCUACCCAGUUCACCCAAAAAUCAUCAUUCUGUCAUUUACAGAAAAAGAUGAACAUUGCAUGGCAAUCAAAACAAUACAGAUACUGUACUUUCUUGCAUGCAAAACAUGGAAUGCAAAACUCUUGUUCAGUAAAAAAUAU